GGCAGCGCUGCCCUAAUAUGGGCGCGAGCUCCGGGGGGCCGGCGGGGCGGCAGCCGCCCGCGGUCGCAGCCCGGCCGCCCUCUUCCAAACAGUUCCCGGGCCGUGUCAGGCGAGCGGGCCGGGAGCGAGGACGUGGCGUCCCAGCCGCCUCCCGACUGCUGGAGAGCCCGGCUGCCUUGCAUGUGUAUCCUCUGUGCGGUGUGCAAGCUUCCUCUGCUUAGGAUUUGGAGUUUCCUGAAGGCAGGAAGCAUUUCUCCCACAACAGACUGAAGAGCCGCCAUCAUCCACCCCUAAAGGGAUCAGGAAUCUGGGAGUGGCUUGGCUGGGUAGUUCUGGCUCAGCUCUCAUGAAAUUAUGGCCAAAACGUUAGGCAAGGCUGUGGCAUCGGAGGCCAGAUUCGGACCAGAGAAUCCACUUGCAAGGCUGCCUGUUCACGUGGCUGGCAGGUGGGUGCUGGCAGUCGGGGGCAAGCCUUGGGUCCUCUUCAAAAGGACCUCUCCAUGCGGCCCGUGCUUCCUCACAAUGUGGUUGCUGGAUUCCAAAGGCAAACAUCUUGAGACAGAGAGAGCCAGGCAGAAGCGGAAUCCUUUUUUAUGACCUAAGCUUCAGAAGUCACGUGGUAUCACCUCUGCUGUGCUGUAGGUCAGGACAACCCCAAGCCCCCUCUGACUCAGGGGGGAGGCAUCGUAAACCCCACCUCUCAGCAAGAGGACUUCUGGCCACAUUGUAAGAAGAGCUGCUGGGAUGGGAUAAAUGUGUGCGUGUGGCCACCUUUGGAGAAUAGAGUGCCACAACAUCUCUGGCUCUUGGGAGCCUGUGGGCAGCACUCACGGGUGACCAAGUAUUCUCUGACACCUGGAACUCAAACAGCCGUAUCACUGAAGUCCUGAGAUAAAGAGGAAAAUAAAUUCAGAGUCCUAAUUCUUCACCAUUCCCAAUAUCCACGCUGUUUGCACAGUCUUAGAGUGUCUUCCCUACCCUGAAUAUGGCCCCAACCAGAUGACAUGCCUUGACCAACAGGUUAUGGUUUUAAGGCCCGAGUUUGGGGGUGGGCCAUUUAUGAUACAUUUUGAGGCAGUGAAUAACUGACAUAGCCCUCUCCUCAUGCUGCCAUGGAAGGACGUCACGCACUGGGAGCCUGUGUUCUAGUUGGGCUCAGUCCCUCUAAUAGACAGAAUAAUGCCCCAUGUCCGUGUCUUAAUCCCCAGAACCUGUGAAUAUGUUACCCACCAAGGCAAAAGGGACCUUGCAGAUGGGAUUAAAUUAAGGAUCUUGAGGUGGAGACAGUCCCCUGGAUUAUCCACAUGGGCCCAACCUCAUUGCACCGUCCUUUAUGAGGGGGAGGCAGG